rnacentral:lncRNA from 1 species
CAAGCCCUUCAUUCUGCAGCUGAGGCUCACUGCCCCCAGUGGGCAGUGGGUCCAGGGGGUUUCUGAGGACAGGGCAUGACCCAGCCCUGCUGCCCCCAAGAUGGCACCUGGCUUGGAGGGGUGAGGGGCCCUGUUAGUCUGACUUUGAAGAAGACCAGCCUUCCAGACUCGCUUGGUGCCCUGACAGGUAUGUGUGCUCUUCUCUCUCCCACCUAACAGCCCCUUUUGGGAGACAGGGUCUGAGAGGAGUCAGGGUCGUAUAACCUUAACACAGUGUGUUAUCCAAAAACCCACUAACCCUGUUACUCUUGUCUGUCUGCUAUGUGAAACCAAGGGCGGUGUUAAAGUUUAUCACCAUGAUAUACAGAUGUGCGUGGGGACAUCUGGGAUGGGGCUCAGGGGUCUACCUGGAGGUCAGAGAGGGCAGGAUCUGCUUAGGGGAGAUGGAUGACUGUGGGGGUCAGACAGGGCAGGGUUUGCUUAGGGGAGAUGGAUGACUGUGGACAUGUGGCUGUAAAUCAUCCUCCCCGUCUUACAUAGGAUGGGGAUGCAACUUUCAAGAGUUGCCUUGAUUGGUACCUUAAAGGAAAUAAAACAUAAAAUGCUUGGCACAUAGUAGAUGCUCAACACAUGUAGAAAAGGCACUUAUUUUAGGUGGAUCUGCCGCCGAAUGGCCCUUUUGCAAGCUCUUCUCAUUUUUUGGAAUCCAAAGGGAAGGUGUGGGGAGCAGGGUCGGGGUGGAGGGGAAGGACGACGUGAGGUUGCAGAGGGCAUUUUCUUGAGGCAAUGGCAUAUCUUUCAUUGGUACUGGCUGGGUUUAUGCGGACUUUGAGAGGAGUGGAGUGUCUCCAAGUGGGGCUACCCCAGCCUGCAGGUUGGAUGCAGGUAACCUCAGUCUGGGCACUGCAUUUUUAUUUACCAUAAAAAUAUUUCAUAUUUGCUGGGUGUGGUGGCUCACGCUUAUAAUCCCAGCACUUUCGGAGGCCGAGGCCGGUGGAUCACCUGAGGCCAGGAGUUUGAGACCAGCCUGGCCAACAUGGUGAAACCCCGUCUCUACAAAAAUACACAAAAUUAGCUGGGCGUGGUGGUGCAUGCCUGUAGUUCCAGCUACUCAGGAGACUGAGGCAUGAGAAUUGCUCGAACCUGGAAGGCAGAAGUUGCAGUUAGCCGAGAUUGCACCAUUGCACUCCAGCCUGGGUGACAGCAAGACUCCGUCUCAAAAAAAAAAAAAAGAAAGAAAAAUUGCAAAACUAUAGCAAUCACCUCAAGGUUUUCACAGGAAUCAAACUCAGUCCAAACUAAAAUGCUGUGUAAUAAAUAGUGGGGCUUCACGUGCAGGAAAGGCGAUUAAGAGCGAGGCAUGCAGGCCGAGGGCUGCUUAACCUGUCUCAGAUUUCUUCCGCACAAAGUCAUGGUUGAAAAUAGGUCUCUGCCUGGCAGAGGGUAAAGAAGUUCUCGAAGGCCUCUGUCUGCAUUAGCUUGGUGAGAGGGAAGACAUUUAACCAAUUAACCAAUUAGUGAUCUGUGCGGAUGGAGACUGAGCAGGACGAGGGUGCCACCCGACUGGGUGUAAAGUGGGCUUAGUUUUGUCUUCUUGGUGUCUGGGAGCCUCAGUGCCUUUCUACGUAGAUGGGAGUAUGCUUGUCACAUCCUUGUCACACAAGUAACCCUGUGCCUGUUUGAGGAUUCCAAGAGCCUGUGACGGCUGCAGGGGGCCCUGAAGCUUAGUGUGCAACUGACAGUUAGAAAUGCCAGUGCCGUUUAGCCACAGUCCCUCUGGGUUAGAGUCGGGAAGAAACAUGGCAGUUGUGUGUUUUGCACAGGAAUCAAGCUGUCAGGGGGCACAGUGAGGCCCCAGCUCCUUACCAGCAAGCCGUCUAGGCUGCGAACGCGAGCCGCCGGGCCGCAGCUCUCUAGAGGUCCCUGUCCCCACCGCCUGGCCCCAUCUCAUGUCACAUUCCCCCAAGGUCUCAUUCCACUCGGCUAAUCUCCAAGAACACCGGCCAGGGCAUUGGCUUUCGGGUCCUUUUAAAGACCAAAAAGUAAAGCACUCCCCCGUGGGUGCUGGACAGCUUGGGAGGGAUUUGGGGCUGUGGGUGGUGAAAUCACAGCCCUGGGCACACACCUGCCAGCCCGAUGUCACUGACAGGCUGCUCGGAGGCUUGGGGCUCCAGUGAGAGCAUAUAGAUAUUUUUUAAAAAACAUAUUCGCGAUAAAAUAAAUCCCCUGUGUCUGCAGAACUUG